UUCCGGUUGAUCCUGCCGGAGGUCACUGCUAUUGGGGUUCGAUUAAGCCAUGCGAGUCGACUGCCUUCUUCGGAAGGCAGGGCAGACGGCUCAGUAACACGUGGGCAAUCUACCCUCGGGUCUGGGAUAACCCCGGAAAACUGGGGAUAAUACCGGAUAGAUGGAGAGGUCUGGAAGGAUUUUCCGUCCAAAGCUCCGGCGCCCGAGGAUGAGCUUGCGGUCGAUUAGGCAGUUGGCGGUGUUAAGGACCACCAAACCUGAGAUCGAUACGGGCAGUGAGAGCUGGAGCCCGGAGAUGGGGACUGAGACACGGCCCCAGGCCCUACGGGGCGCAGCAGGCGCGAAAACUCCGCAAUGUUCGAAAGAACGACGGGGGAACCCCAAGUGCCUCAUCUUUUUUGAUGGGGCUUUUGCGUAGUAUAAAUAACUACACGAAUAAGGGCUGGGUAAGACCGGUGCCAGCCGCCGCGGUAACACCGGCGGCUCGAGUGGUGACCACUUUUAUUGGGCCUAAAGCGUUCGUAGCCGGUUCGGUAAGUCUUUGGGUAAAUCUUGCUGCUCAACAGUAAGAAUUCCGAAGAUACUGCCGGGCUAGGGACCGAGAGAGGUCGGAGGUACUCCUGGGGUAGAGGUGAAAUUCUGUAAUCCUGGGGGGACCACCAGUGGCGAAGGCGUCCGACUAGAGCGGGUCCGACGGUGAGGGGCGAAAGCCAGGGGAGCGAACCGGAUUAGAUACCCGGGUAGUCCUGGCCGUAAACGCUGUGGGCUAGGUGUUGCAUGCUCUACGGGGGCAUGCAGUGCCGAAGAGAAGUUGAUAAGCCUACCGCCUGGGAAGUACUACUGCAAGGUAGAAACUUAAAGGAAUUGGCGGGGGAGCACCACAAGGGGUGAGCCUGCGUUCAAUUGGACUCACGCGGA
rnacentral:rRNA from 1 species